GAUAUUGUAGCUCAAUGGUAGAGCAAGUGCCUGUUAAGCACUAGGUUGAAAGUUCGAGUCUUUCCAAUAUCGCAA
rnacentral:tRNA from 1 species